GUGGGGAAUAUUGCACAAUGGGCGCAAGCCUGAUGCAGCCAUGCCGCGUGUGUGAAGAAGGCCUUCGGGUUGUAAAGCACUUUCAGCGAGGAGGAAGGGUUCAGUGUUAAUAGCACUGUGCAUUGACGUUACUCGCAGAAGAAGCACCGGCUAACUCCGUGCCAGCAGCCGCGGUAAUACGGAGGGUGCAAGCGUUAAUCGGAAUUACUGGGCGUAAAGCGCACGCAGGCGGUUUGUUAAGUCAGAUGUGAAAUCCCCGCGCUUAACGUGGGAACUGCAUUUGAAACUGGCAAGCUAGAGUCUUGUAGAGGGGGGUAGAAUUCCAGGUGUAGCGGUGAAAUGCGUAGAGAUCUGGAGGAAUACCGGUGGCGAAGGCGGCCCCCUGGACAAAGACUGACGCUCAGGUGCGAAAGCGUGGGGAGCAAACAGGAUUAGAAACCCGUGUAGUCC
rnacentral:rRNA from 1 species